GGCUGGGAGGUAGAUUUGGUGCAAUGGUUAGAGUGCUGCACUAUGACUUGAGAUGCCGGGGAUCAAAUCCCUGCUCAGCCA